rnacentral:rRNA from 1 species
UAGUUGCAUGCAUUAGACCCGAAACCCGGUGAUCUAUCCAUGGCCAGGUUGAAGAUGCCGUAACAGGCAUUGGAGGACCGAACCCACAAAUGUUGAAAAAUUUGGGGAUGAGCUGUGGAUCGGAGUGAAAGGCUAAUCAAACCGGGAGAUAGCUGGUUCUCCUCGAAAUCUAUUUAGGUAGAGCGUCAUGUCUUACCCUGGGGGGUAGAGCACUGUUUGGGCUAGGGGGUCAUCCCGACUUACCAAACCCAUGCAAACUCCGAAUACCCAGGAGUACAAUCAUGGCAGACAGACGGCGGGUGCUAACGUCCGUCGUCGAGAGGGAAACAACCCAGACCGCCAGCUAAGGUCCCAAAUGCUAGUUAAGUGGGAAACGAUGUGGGAAGGCUCAGACAGCUAGGAGGUUGGCUUAGAAGCAGCCAUCCUUUAAAGAAAGCGUAAUAGCUCACUAGUCGAGUCGGCCUGCGCGGAAGAUGUAACGGGGCUAAAUUAGCAACCGAAGCUGCGGAUGCACUAUGUGCAUGGUAGAGGAGCGUUCUGUACGCCUGCGAAGGUGAGUCGAGAGGCUUGCUGGAGGUAUCAGAAGUGCGAAUGCUGACAUAAGUAACGACAAGGGGGGUGAAAAACCUCCCCGCCGGAAGACCAAGGUUUCCUGCCCCAUGUUAAUCAGGGCAGGGUUAGUCGGCCCCUAAGGCGAGGCUGAAAAGCGUAGUCGAUGGGAAACGGGUUAAUAUUCCCGUACUUGUUAUUAUUGCGAUGGAGGGACGGAGUAGGCUAGGCGAUCGCGGCGUUGGUUGUCCGCGUUUAAGCUAGUAGGCUGAGGACUUAGGCAAAUCCGGGUCCUUAAGGCUGAGAGGUGAUGACGAGCUCUCUUUUGAGCGAAGUCGUUGAUGCCAUGCUUCCAAGAAAAUCUUCUAAGCUUCAGAUAGUAACGAACCGUACCCCAAACCGACACAGGUGGUCAGGUAGAGAAUACCAAGGCGCUUGAGAGAACUCGGGUGAAGGAACUAGGCAAAAUGGUACCGUAACUUCGGGAGAAGGUACGCCGGUUUUGGUGAUGGGACUUGCUCCCUAAGCUGAGGCUGGCCGAAGUGACCAGGUGGCUGCGACUGUUUAUCAAAAACAUAGCACUCUGCAAACACGAAAGUGGACGUAUAGGGUGUGACGCCUGCCCGGUGCCGGAAGGUUAAUUGAUGGGGUUAGCUUAGGCGAAGCUCUUGAUCGAAGCCCCGGUAAACGGCGGCCGUAACUAUAACGGUCCUAAGGUAGCGAAAUUCCUUGUCGGGUAAGUUCCGACCUGCACGAAUGGCGUAACGAUGGCCACGCUGUCUCCACCCGAGACUCAGUGAAAUUGAAAUCGCUGUUAAGAUGCAGUGUACCCGCGGCUAGACGGAAAGACCCCGUGAACCUUUACUAUAGCUUCACAGUGGACUCUGAUAUUACUUGUGUAGGAUAGCUGGGAGGCUUUGAAGCUCAGACGCUAGUUUGAGUGGAGCCAAUCUUGAAAUACCAGCCUGGUACUAUUGGGGUUCUAACUCUGGUCCAUUAUCUGGAUCGAGGACAUUGUGUGGUGGGUAGUUUGACUGGGGCGGUCUCCUCCCAAAGCGUAACGGAGGAGCACGAAGGUGCGCUAAUCACGGUCGGAAAUCGUGAGGUUAGUGUAAAGGCACAAGCGCGCUUGACUGCGAGACUGACAAGUCGAGCAGGUACGAAAGUAGGUCUUAGUGAUCCGGUGGUUCUGUAUGGAAGGGCCAUCGCUCAACGGAUAAAAGGUACUCCGGGGAUAACAGGCUGAUACCGCCCAAGAGUUCACAUCGACGGCGGUGUUUGGCACCUCGAUGUCGGCUCAUCACAUCCUGGGGCUGAAGCCGGUCCCAAGGGUAUGGCUGUUCGCCAUUUAAAGUGGUACGCGAGCUGGGUUCAGAACGUCGUGAGACAGUUCGGUCCCUAUCUGCCGUGGGCGUUGGAGAUUUGAGGAAAGCUGCUCCUAGUACGAGAGGACCGGAGUGGACGAACCUCUGGUGUUCGGGUUGUCACGCCAGUGGCAUUGCCCGGUAGCUAUGUUCGGACGGGAUAACCGCUGAAAGCAUCUAAGCGGGAAGCCUCUUCCAAGAUGAGAUCUCCCUGGGGCCUUGAGCCCCCUAAAGAGCCGUUCAAGACCAGGACGUUGAUAGGCAGGGUGUGUAAGCGUUGUAAGGCGUUGAGCUAACCUGUACUAAUUGCUCGUGAGGCUUGACCAU